rnacentral:rRNA from 1 species
UACGGAGGGGGCGAGCGUUAUUCGGAAUUAUUGGGCGUAAAGGGCGCGUAGGCGGCCCUGUAAGUCAAAGGUGAAAUCCCUCGGCUCAACUGAGGAACUGCCUUUGAAACUGCAGGGCUUGAGUCCGGGAGGGGGUAGCGGAAUUCCCAGUGUAGCGGUGAAAUGCGUAGAUAUUGGGAGGAACACCGGUGGCGAAGGCGGCUACCUGGACCGGCACUGAUGCUGAGGCGCGAAAGCGUGGGGAGCAAACAGG